rnacentral:rRNA from 1 species
AGAGUUUGAUCAUGGCUCAGAUUGAACGCUGGCGGCAUGCUUUACACAUGCAAGUCGAACGGCAGCACAGGGAGCUUGCUCCCGGGUGGCGAGUGGCGCACGGGUGGAGUAAUACAUCGGAACGUGUCCUGUUGUGGGGGAUAACUGCUCGAAAGGGUGGCUAAUACCGCAUGAGACCUGAGGGUGAAAGCGGGGGAUCGCAAGAACCUCGCGCAAUUGGAGCGGCCGAUGCCCGAUUAGCUAGUUGGUGAGGUAAAGGCUCACCAAGGCGACGAUCGGUAGCUGGUCUGAGAGGACGACCAGCCACACUGGGGACUGAGACACGGCCCAGACUCCUACGGGGAGGCA